CGUCCAGGAGAGGCCUAUAAAAAUGGCUCCACUAGCGAACGGCUACUAAUUUGGUUCUCUCGUCAACGGGAUUGGGGCUUUUGGGUUCCAAGCUUUUUCGAGAGGGACAGGGCGAGAGAGAGAGAGGAGAGAACAAGAUGAUUUACAGGAAGUGGUCGCUGCUCUCGUCGACGGUGGUGAUCUGGGGAGGGAUCGCCUCUUUUUGCCUUGCUGACGUCUUUCUCUUCGGUGGAAAGGAGAAAUUUCAGGAGUACCUGUGUCGCGAAGGUGAGAAGCUCCGGCAACAGGAUAGGGUCAUGAUGGCUGCAAGGAGCGAAGCGAAGAUGGGUUAAGAGAAGAGAAGGCUAGAUGAUGCGAAAACAGCUGUAUUUCCUCUUUAAAUCCUUUUGCCAAGUUAGAUUCUUGGUCUUGAAGGUGUGGGUUCAAUAAGUGUUGACUUUUUUUGUGCAAGUUUGGUAAAAGUUUGAUGUUUUGUAAUAAAAAAAAGGGGCAAACAUGGAGGCUCUGGAUGCUCAAACCUUUGAGUUGUCGAGUCCAUGCUAGAAGAAACAAGGAAAUAAAGACUUGUGCUCAUUAUCUGUCUUGUGAAAGAAGUUAUUUUUCGUCGUCCA